AUUGCUGGUCCCUCUCUGUGCUCUGAAGUUCACUCUACUGAGCUACGUGGGUGCAGUCAUCUGUGACUCUAGAAUGAUAAUCUUUUGAUGUGGAAAUCUUGGUGCUGCUAAAGUAUCGGUAUCUUUGCAAGUGGUGUCACAACCAUGAUUUUUCUGCAUGUGAAGUCUGAUUCUGGCAUGAAUCACAGCUC